rnacentral:lncRNA from 1 species
AUCAUACUUGGAGAAGAAAAAAAUGCAUGGGCACGCAUGGAAGAGAAAAAAGGCAUGGGAAUAGUUCAAGAGUGAAAGGUUGCCAUCAUAAACCCUUAGAAAAGGAAGUGAACCAAUCAAACUUGUGAGUCAAUAUUUUAUGAGUAUUGCUUUUAGCAACGUCUACAUUAGUAACAAGAGAGGUAUCAACAUGGCCAGCUAGCUCCCACGCCAGCAGC